GAUGAACGCUGGCGGCGUGCUUAACACAUGCAAGUCGAACGGACUUUACAUGAAACCUAGUGAUUGUAAAGUUAGUGGCGGACGGGUGAGUAACGCGUGAGUAACCUGCCUUAUACUGGGGGACAACAGUUGGAAACGACUGCUAAUACCGCAUAAGCGCACAGUUCUGCAUGGAACGGUGUGAAAAACUCCGGUGGUAUAAGAUGGAUUCGCGUCUGAUUAGCUAGUUGGUGAGGUAACGGCUCACCAAGGCGACGAUCAGUAGCCGGCCUGAGAGGGUGAACGGCCACAUUGGGACUGAGACACGGCCCAAACUCCUACGGGAGGCAGCAGUGGGGAAUAUUGCACAAUGGGGGAAACCCUGAUGCAGCGACGCCGCGUGAGUGAAGAAGUAUUUCGGUAUGUAAAGCUCUAUCAGCAGGGAAGAAAAUGACGGUACCUGACUAAGAAGCCCCGGNUAACACGUG
rnacentral:rRNA from 1 species